rnacentral:SRP_RNA from 1 species
GCUGGGCAUAGUGGCGUGUGCCUGUAGUCCCAGCUACUUGGGAUGCUGAGGCAGGAGAAUCACUUGAACCCAGGAGGCAGAGGUUGCAGUGAGCCAAGAUCGCACCACUGCAGUCCAGCCUGGGCGACAGAGUGAGACUCUGUCUCAA